GCAAUCAGCAUGCUGAUUAAGGUUGCUUGGUUUUUUACUAAACAUUAACUGAAUGAAAACGGUAGUCCUUGUUCUGCUUGGGGGGCUUUAAGGAAGCAAAUGGACUUUCAGAACAGAGAUUGUCAAUAAAGGUCUCUGCAGCUUACUCAUGGAGUAUGAAAAGGAGGCAGCUCUGCUGCAAGAUGUGCUAUAAUCCGAAGCACCACACAAGAAACAGACCCUUUUCUCCUUGUGCAUCUGCAAACAGAAUUUCUGUGGGGAAGCAAACUUACACUGAGAGAGACCUUGGGCAGGGUGAGGGAUGUAUACCAGGACGCAUAGAUCAUUCUAGAAAGAAUAUGGGCAAGAAAUGUUACAGUUUAAAAACUGUCCUCUUUUCUAAUUACAUGAAGAAGAAAGUCUCAGUUGGUGUUAACAAAGAGCUUGCUAACACUUUCAUUUUCCUUUUUUAAGAAACUGAAGAUGAGCCUCAGGCUCAUGAGUGUCUUCAGCAGAAACUACAUAGAGCUAGAGCUUAAUACCAUUGUAUGGUUUUUGUAAAUUAAAAAAAAUUCAAAAUGC